GUCCACGCCGUAAACGAUGGGUACUAGGCGCCGGGGGAGCGACCCCUUCGGUGCCGUCGCUAACGCAAUAAGUACCCCGCCUGGGGAGUACGGCCGCAAGGCUGAAACUCAAAGGAAUUGACGGGGGCCCGCACAAGCGGUGGAGCAUGUGGUUUAAUUCGAAGCAACGCGAAGAACCUUACCUGGGCUUGACAUGCACGGGAAAGCUGGUGGAAACAUCGGCCCCUCUUCGGAGUCCGUGCACAGGUGCUGCAUGGCUGUCGU
rnacentral:rRNA from 1 species